UUCCAUAGGAAACAUCCCAACACUCUAACUUCCUUGGCUAUUGUUUCAGGCUACUGUUACCUUCUUGCUUAUCAAGUUUCUCAUUUGCUUCUCAGGGAGAGCUAGGUGCCUGGAAUUUCCCUUGAAGGAACUCAAGAUUUUCCUUUAUUUCCAUCCCUGGGGGGUGCCCAGCAGGCCUAUAAGAGGAGUCCUCUCAAGAUGAGAACAGUGAAGCUCUGAGAGGUUAAGUGACUUGGCUGAGCUCAUGAAGCAGAUCCCAGCACAAAGUAGGGCUAGGAUGAAAAUGCCUGGAGGAA
rnacentral:lncRNA from 1 species